UGGCAACAGAGAAAAACUCCAUCUCAAAAAAAAAAAAAAAAAAAAAAAAAACCAGAAAAGGACAACGGGCAGUGCCCUGGGGCAGGGGAACUGAGGCAAAAGGGUAGGGAUUGCAACCCCUCUGCUUUCUCAUUUCCCAGAGACGUGGUCUUGGAUAUCCAAGGAAUGAAUGAAUUCUCAGGUGCUUGCUCCUGCCGGGCACUUCACAUUGGAUGUCUUUGGACUUGACAGCAGCCCUCUGAGAUACCAUUAUCUCCAUUCUGCUGAUGAAGAGCAGGCACAGCGAGAUUACCUGUAUUGUCAGAGGACACACAGCUAGGUUGGAACACAGGGGAAGUGCUACCGGCAUCUAAUGGGGAGAGGCUGUGGAUGCUGUCAAGCCUCCAUCGGUGCACAGGACCAGCAUCCACAACAAAGAAUUAUCCAACCCCAAAUGUCAAUAAUGCCAAGCCUGAGAAUACCGGAUUAAGGUGAAAGCAGGCUCUCGAAGUGUUUUGAGUGGAAGUGUGUUAGGGGCUGAAAAGUUACAAACUAUAUCCAGAAACUUCAAUAAAGGUAUUUCCUUCUGAUGUGCCAUCAUUCCUGGCUCAAAAUUCACUUUCUUUCUACAUUUUCUAUAUUCAGUAGAUAUGCUGUGUCUGCGAGCCAGGCCUAUUGGUGCCUGUUCUGUGGUGAGCAGGCGCCAAUAGGUGACAAGGCAGGCAAGAGAGAGUGUCCCCGGACCUAAGAAACCACGCUGUGGACCCAAAGCCACCUGGAAAAGACUCAUGGGAUGUGGGACAUCACUCAAGGCUCAAGGUCAGCCUGGGGUCCAACAGUAAGGAUAAGAACCAGGACAGCAGGUUCCAGAAAGCCAAGUCCCUUCAUAAGAGGUCAACCUGACCUAAACAGACACCUUUUUUAAAAAAAUAUUAUUAUUAUUGUUAUUUCUCUAAGCCUUCUUAGCAUUUGCAGUGUAUCCUGGGGGAACUUGCAGUUUUCAGAGACAGACUCAUGAAUAAAAAUGAGUUGUGUAAAUUCCUGUAUUGAGAGUAUUUGCCAAGUGCUGCAGGGCUCCAGAGGAGGUGACGGGCACCUUGGCCUGGAGAAACAGAGGAGGGUGAAGGUUUCUGGGUAAGUCACUGCUGGAAACUAGAAGGUGAAGGGAGAGUCCAGGCAGAGGGAAGAGCAUGGUGGGAGGCAAAGGUACCAGCAGGCAGAGGCAGGCAGGGUAGGAGUGUGCUAUGGGCAGGGCAGGGAGGCGGGAGGUGCGGUGAGGGGAAGACCACAGGGAACUCCCCAGAAAGCAGAGAAUUGGGUGCCUCCUGCGAGUGUCCACUGUGGUUUCCAGCGAGAAUCUCUCCAAAAGAAGAAAGAUGUGCUGUCCUGGCAGGAAGGCGGAGACAUUCAUUUCCAGUCCCUCUGUGGUAGGGUAGGGGUGACCCUCUCUCCAAGAGGUAUGAUAAAGCCAGUGUCCCCAUUAGCAUCAAAAUAGAGAAGAUAGUUCCUUCAUUAAAAAAGCAAAUUUUGCUGGCACUAGAUACCCUUUACAGAGGGCCGGGCUCUGGGAGCCUCCCUGCCUGGGUUCCCAUCCCAGCUUCUGGGGUUCCUCUGUGUGCAGUCUGGGGUAGUUAACUUAAUUUCUCUGUACUGCAGUUCCCUAUCUGUAAAAUGAGUAGAUUAAUUGUUCCUGCAUCCAUAGGUGUUUUAUGAGUUUAAAUGAUUUAGUGCAAAUAAAGUGCCUGGAAUGGUGCCUAGAAUGUAGUAAAUUCUCAGAAUUAACCAGUGUUACUCUCUUUUUACCAUUUAGGGACAGCAGAGGAAAGGGCUUUAAGAGAGUGUCAUGUUCUAGAGCUGAACUUGUGAACUUGCACCUAGGUGUGCUGCAAUUGGCUGACAGGUGUGCUUUUUAAAAAAUUGAAUUUGAAUGCCUUUGCGUGGAGCUGGCAUGAUCCAUGAUUCGUCAUAGUCCAUCCUCUACCCCACCCCCUUGUCCCAAGCCUGUCCAGCAUCACACAUGCAGUGUCCCCUGCACUUGGCUGCCUAAACAUGAGAGCAGAGGACACUGGCAAUUGCAUUAAGUGGAGAGAAGUUACAGGAGGAACAUUGGCAGGAUUAGCCACAAACUGAGUCAGCUGUCAUGCCACACACUUGGUGAGAGCCCUGCUUAUAAAGCAGCUGUGAAUUUCACAUGUUGGGUUCAGCCUGGGAGCUUAUUGAUGAUCACUUUCUAUGGCCAGAGGGGCAUCCUGCAAGCUUCUCUCUCCAGGAGACAAGCUGCAUCCAGGUCCAACCUUCCUCUCAGACCUGCGUCUGCACUGCUAGCACAGCCUCCUCCUUCCUACGCCUCCACCUGACCUGGUCCUAUAACUGUGACAUUGCCCCUUACAGCCACCCAGUGGUAGACACUCCAAGGCAGGCAAGAGAAGCAGCCUGCUUUCCCUGGCACUCACCAGCCCGAAGAGCUGUGCUAGUGGUAGAGUAAGGAAAGAACCCUGGCCUCAGAGGUAAAAGACCUCACUGAAGUGUGACCUUGGUCAGGUCACUGAGCCCUGCAGUCCUCUUCCUUGUCUAUAACCCCUGGGGUACUGUGUUGCUUGCAGCACCUCCUUGGUUAUUGGGUUGUUAGAGAGAGGCAGUGUUUGUACUGGUGCCUUAUUAUUAUUAUUUUUAAUGUUACUCUGCAAAUGAUGGACAUUCAAAAUAAUUAGCAAUGCUGCAUUAUUUCUUGAAGUUGUGGCCAACCAUCCACAGCCUGGGCUAGAAAGCAGGAAUGGGGAUGUCGAUUGUGGUGAGGGUCCCAAAUUGUACUGGGGAGAAGAUAGAUGGAAGCAAAGAAACUCUAUACACAGAGGAUUUCAAAGAGUUAGUACCAAAAAGACUGUAAAAUAUCUUAAUAACGUUUGUAUUGACCAUGUGUUGAAAUGACAUUUCAGAUAUUUUGGAUUAAAUAAAAUAUUAAAUGUUUAUUAAAAUUAAUUUUGCAUGUUUCUACUUUUAAGUGUAGCUUUUUUUUUUAAUAUAGUAGAAAAUGUGCAGCAUAUUUCACUUUAGACCAGCUGCAUUGCAAGUGCUCACUGCUCACAUGUGGCUAUCAUUGGACAACACAGCUAUAACCAUAUACAAAUUGCAUUCUGUACGUGCCAUUGGACUUCAAGACUUUUUCCUCCUUCUCCUUGGAGUAGCCUCAACUCUAACUUCUUUCUCUGGAUAAUUCCUGUUCAUCCUUCAGAGCAAGGUCUAGCAUCAAAUUCUCUUGGAAGAGUUUUCUGACCCCUUAGUCUGGGGCCCCUUUUCCACAGCUCCUGAUGAUCGGCACAUAGCCUGGGGCACACGGAUAGUUUAUAGGAACAGUGGGAGAGAAUACUUGAAAUGGAGUGUUUCCAGAUCAGAUCUGUGUUGUAGGAUUUUUCCUGUCCAAGUGGCAUAGUCCUCAAAUGAAAAAGUUUGAGAAAACGCUUUAAACAUUUCAUCCUGCUGUAGACAGGUUCAGUGUGACUAUAAAGGUUAUGAAUGGGAAUCCAAAGAAACAUUUGCAGAAUCAUACUUACUUUCUACCCCAAUUCUGUAGGAUCACCGUGUCUGUGAUUGGCUGUCAGUUACAAGCAGUGAUUUUUCUCUAUGUUCAUAGCUUAAUAGACUUCUGGAUCUGGGUGAUUUUUAAUGGAGCUUAUUUUUAGGUGCAUCUGAUCACAUGAUUUGGUAAAUAUUGGACCCAGAAACUGAUGGAAAAAACAAAUCCCACAUGAAUUUGUUGUGCCCUUUAUUGUAUAGUAGAGAGAUGAAAAUGAGAUAGGGAGACAUAAGGAAAUGCUAUUGUUACAUUUAAAAAUGGCAGCUUUACACAUGUAAAUGACUAGGAUUGGCUAUUGUCGCCUUCACAGCAACUGAGUUGGGUUUGAGUUCCUGUUCCUGUGGCUGCAAGGACUUUGCCACAUUACCCAAUCUUAAUUUGUCUCUGUCUCCUUAUCUUCCACUGGGCAUAGUGACCAUCUGAUAGUGUGACUGUAAAUAGGUAGAAAUGAGAUAACACAUCUAGUAGUUAGAAUCUGUUAACCUCCAGUUAAGUCAAGUUUUUGCUAUUCUUUUUAGUUAUUCACUUAUAGUUUUGUUAAGUAAUGGUUCUCUAUGGUCUUUUUAAAAAUCUAGUUAUCAAGGACUAAUAAAGGAGCAUUAAAUUUACCCAUAUGGUGUUGUCCUCCUCAGUUUCUCUUUGUUCUAAUUUUUAGAUGGUGUUUGUUUUAUAAAAUAUUCAUCCUUUACAGUGUAUCUUAAAUGUACCUGACCUUGUUUGCUCCUGUUACCAUUUUUUUUUCAAUUUUUAAGGGUCUAAUUUAUUGAGGUAUUACUUACAUGCAAUAAAAUUUACCCCUUUAAGUGUAGGACUUGAUGAAUUUUGAUAAACAUGUACAGUUGUGUAAACACCAAAAUGGGGAGUUGUCCAAGUGGUAUAAAGUGAUGGUUAUGCAAGAUGAAUUAAUUCCAGAGAUUUGCUGUACAAUACAUGUCUGUGGUCAACCAUACAAUUUUUAAGUGGGCACUUAAAAAUGUAUAAGAGGGUAGAUUUCAUGUUAAGUGUUUUUACCACAAUAAAACAAGAAAAACAAAAAGACACAA